rnacentral:rRNA from 1 species
UCUCGCAUGGACGAAGUCUGACGGAGCACGCCGCGUGAGCGAUGAAGGCCUUCGGGUCGUAAAGCUCUGUUGUUAGGGAAGAACAAGUACCGGAGUAACUGCCGGUACCUUGACGGUACCUAACCAGAAAGCCACGGCUAACUACGUGCCAGCAGCCGCGGUAAUACGUAGGUGGCAAGCGUUGUCCGGAAUUAUUGGGCGUAAAGCGCGCGCAGGUGGUCCUUUAAGUCUGAUGUGAAAGCCCACGGCUCAACCGUGGAGGGUCAUUGGAAACUGGGGAACUUGAGUGCAGAAGAGGAAAGUGGAAUUCCACGUGUAGCGGUGAAAUGCGUAGAGAUGUGGAGGAACACCAGUGGCGAAGGCGACUUUCUGGUCUGUAACUGACACUGAGGCGCGAAAGCGUGGGGAGCGAACAGGAUUAGAUACCCUGGUAGUCCACGCCGUAAACGAUGAGUGCUAAGUGUUAGAGGGUUUCCGCCCUUUAGUGCUGCAGCAAACGCAUUAAGCACUCCGCCUGGGGAGUACGGCCGCAAGGCUGAAACUCAAAUGAAAUUGACGGA